CAGCUGUUUAAGGAAGACAGAGCAGGCAUUGGAUAAUAUUCUUAUUAAGUUUUCAGUUUAAAUUCUCAACUGGCAAUUGGCCGAAAACUUCCAUCUGAAGACAUGAUCAUCCAAAUGUCAUUUUGUGAUUUGGCUACUGUCUGCUUGACAUAGGAAAGCACUAUCAAGAAAGACUAAUGGAGUGACUAUCAAAAGGAAGUCAAUGGACAACCUUAAAGUUCCACCACAAGAGGAAUAUAAAGAGGUCCCUCCUGCACCAAGAAAGAUCUGCAGAUCUUUUUCAGUGUUCUUGGAGGUGUGGGGUGUGAGAACUUGAUCAGUUUGUGUCAGCCACCUUGUUCUCUAAAGGGAAAGUCCCUCAAACCAUUUUGUAUUCUGUAUUACACUUCAGAAAGUGUGGAAGCAAAGGUCAUCUAAUCUUUAAAAGAGAUGGGACAACAAAGAAAUUCUAGCCUUUGGAGGCAUCUAGACCAGCACUAUAUGUUACAAAUUAUAAUACUGUGGUAGAAACAAAUUCAGAUUCAGAUGAUGAAGACAAACUCCAUAUUGUGGAAGAAGAAAGUGUCACAGAUGCAGCUGAUUGUGAAGGUGUACCAGAGGAUGACCUGCCAACAGACCAGACAGUGUUACCAGGGAGGAGCAGUGAAAGAGAAGGGAAUGCUAAGAACUGCUGGGAGGAUGAC
rnacentral:sRNA from 1 species